rnacentral:lncRNA from 1 species
AAUGCCUGACUAGGAGAUGGGAUUCAGAUGGCAGAAUAGGAGGACUGGAGCUCAACUUCUUUCCUAAAAACAACAAAACUUACGACCAAAUGCUGAGCAAUUUUCAACCAAAUGGACCGGACACUUUCAAAAAGACAUUCUACACUGGAAGACAAAGAGGAGGCCACAUCAAGAGGUAGGAGGGGCCAUUACGUGAUAUAAGCAACCUCAUACCUCCCCAGUGGGAAGCCCCACAGACUGGAAAGUAACUGGUUCACAGAGACUCACCUACAGGAGUGAGAGUUCUGAGCCCCACAUCAAACCCCCCACACGUGGGGAUCUGGCACUGGGAGCAAGAGCCCCUGGAGCAUCUGGCAUUGAAGGCCAGUGGGGCUUGUGUGCAGGAGCUCCACGGGACUGGGGAAGCGGAGACCCCAUUCUUGGAAGGCGCACACAGGCUUUCCCCUGCACUGGGUCCCAGGGCAAAGCAGGGUCUCGGUGGGAAUCUGGGUUCGACGUGCCUGCAGUUCUUGGAGGACCUCCUGGGAAAGCAGGAGUGAAUGUGGCUUGUUGUGGGGAAAGGACAUUGGAAGCAAAGCUCUCAGGAGUCUUCAUCAGCCUGUGGUUUCCUGGAGGGGGCCAUUUUGGGAAAAUCUGGCCCCGCCCAUGAGCGCUGAGAAGCCCCAGGGCAAACAGCAAUCCGGUGGGAUCACAGCCCCUCCCUGCAGUAACAGGCUCCCUAAAGACCCCCCAGGCACACAGCCGCCUCUAAUCCCAUCCAGAGACAAAGCCCCACCCACCAGAGGGAUGGGAAUCAGCUGCACCUACCAGUGGGCAGGCAUCAGUCCCUCCCAGCAAGAAGCCUACAGCAACCCCCUACCAACUCCAACCACAACGGGGGCAGACGCCAAAAGUAAGAGAGGCUACAACUCUAUUAUCUGUAAAAAGGUCACCACACCAAAAACCUAUAAAAAUGAAAAGACAGAAAACUAUAACUCAGAUGAGGGAGAAAGGAAAGAAUGCCUGACUAGUGAAGUUUGCAGGCUAUAUAGCAGCAUUGGGGGAAAAGCUGAAAGCUCUGUGGGUCACAGUCACUGA